UCCUCCUCGCAGACCUGGCUGCCCACACGCCACGUCAUACCUCAGAAUCAGGCACUGAAGAAGACAACCAUUUUCCUGGGCUUUCCCGGGAGAUAAGCUCUGUGGCAGGAAGAGGAGGGGAAAGAGAUGACGGUAACACAGUGUCGGCAGUGUGGCCACAGCUUAAAGAACAAGACUAUUUUCCUUUGGAGCUACGCUGAGAUCUUAGCAAGGCUGUCUGUUUGGAGUCGAUCUCAUCUUGAAAAUGGGCAUUUUCUGCCAAGAUGGCCAUGUGUGUCAACCUCAGGGAUUCUCCCUUUCCCGGAGCCAAGAGGAAGUCUCUAAAAACUAGCCGAGGAAGGUGUUUUCUCCACACUGAGCGAGCUUUGGCGACAUUCUGUGA